rnacentral:rRNA from 1 species
UACGAAGGGGGCUAGCGUUGUUCGGAAUCACUGGGCGUAAAGGGCGCGUAGGCGGAUGUGUCAGUCAGGGGUGAAAUCCCGGAGCUCAACUUCGGAACUGCCUUUGAUACAGCACGUCUUGAGUCCGAUAGAGGUGGGUGGAAUUCCUAGUGUAGAGGUGAAAUUCGUAGAUAUUAGGAAGAACACCGGUGGCGAAGGCGGCCCACUGGAUCGGUACUGACGCUGAGGUGCGAAAGCGUGGGGAGCAAACAGG